rnacentral:lncRNA from 1 species
AAACAUAUGUUUCCUAUAAAUAAGGUUGUAACGGCCAUGCAUGAAUGUUUGUUCUCAAUUUUCAUGGUAGCCUAAAAGAGAUAUUUGCGUUUGACCAUUCCAAAACCCAUACUGAAUCCAUCCUCCCUCCAUUACAACCCGCCGUCAGCCUAUCACAACCCUCCUCCUCCGUUUAUGGCCAACAUCAUCAUUUCCCUAAACCCCCCUUAGAAUCAAAAAUCAAGAACUCAGACAUUCAAUUACGAAACAAGCAAAAGAAGAAAAGAACUUUUCAUGUUUUUUCAUUUCUUGUUUUCUUCCCAUUUUUUAGUAUAAAGUUUAACGCAAUC